AAGUAAAUCUUAGGAUGCAUUAAUAAUUGAUAUAGUUUAGUAUUUUCUUGUGUGUGGUGUAGGGUGGGGGACCUUACUAUCUAAUAGGUCGAGCCCUUGGUCCUGAAGUUGGAGUUAGCAUUGGUCUAUGCUUCUUCCUUGGAAAUGCUGUUGCUGGAGCACUUUAUGUAUUGGGAGCUGUAGAAACAUUUUUGAAAGCAGUUCCUGCUGCUGGGAUCUUUAGAGAGGCUGCCACACAAGUUAACGGGACUGCAGUUACACAACCAAUAGAGAGUCCAAGUUCUCAUGACUUGCAAAUAUAUGGGAUUGUUGUGACUAUUUUGUUAUGCUUUAUUGUAUUUGGAGGUGUGAAGAUGAUAAAUCGGGUUGCACCUGCUUUUCUCAUACCUG